GAGCCAUUAGCUCAGCUGGCAGAGCAUCUGACUUUUAAUCAGAGGGUCGGAGGUUCGAAUCCUCCAUGGCUCACCU
rnacentral:tRNA from 1 species